rnacentral:rRNA from 1 species
UUGAACGCUGGCGGAAUGCUUUACACAUGCAAGUCGAGCGGCAGCGCGGGGGCAACCCUGGCGGCGAGCGGCGAACGGGUGAGUAAUACAUCGGAACGUACCCAGUUGUGGGGGAUAGCCCGGCGAAAGCCGGAUUAAUACCGCAUAAGUCCUGAGGGAGAAAGCGGGGGACCGUAAGGCCUCGCGCGAUUGGAGCGGCCGAUGUUCGAUUAGCUAGUUGGUGGGGUAAAGGCCUACCAAGGCGACGAUCGAUAGCUGGUCUGAGAGGACGACCAGCCACACUGGAACUGAGACACGGUCCAGACUCCUACGGGAGGCAGCAGUGGGGAAUUUUGGACAAUGGGGGCAACCCUGAUCCAGCCAUUCCGCGUGAGUGAAGAAGGCCUUCGGGUUGUAAAGCUCUUUCAGCCGGAAAGAAAUUGCUUCUAUUAAUACUAGGAGUAGAUGACGGUACCGGAAGAAGAAGCACCGGCUAACUACGU